AUACUUAACCUGGCAGGGGAGAUACCGUGAUCAUGCGUUGGUUUUCCAGGGUGAGGCUUAUCCAUUGCACUGCGGAUGUGCCCCAAAUAUGGGAAACUCAACUGCAUAAUUUGUGGUAGUGGGGAAAAAAAUAAAAAUAAAAAGCCCGUACAGGUAGGAAUUUGCCUGCCUUGUCCCUC
rnacentral:snRNA from 1 species